rnacentral:rRNA from 1 species
CCCAGCUUGCUGGGUGGAUUAGUGGCGAACGGGUGAGUAACACGUGAGUAACCUGCCCCUGACUCUGGGAUAAGCGUUGGAAACGACGUCUAAUACUGGAUAUGACUGCCGGCCGCAUGGUCUGGUGGUGGAAAGAUUUUUUGGUUGGGGAUGGACUCGCGGCCUAUCAGCUUGUUGGUGAGGUAAUGGCUCACCAAGGCGACGACGGGUAGCCGGCCUGAGAGGGUGACCGGCCACACUGGGACUGAGACACGGCCCAGACUCCUACGGGAGGCAGCAGUGGGGAAUAUUGCACAAUGGGCGAAAGCCUGAUGCAGCAACGCCGCGUGAGGGAUGACGGCCUUCGGGUUGUAAACCUCUUUUAGUAGGGAAGAAGCGUAAGUGACGGUACCUGCAGAAAAAGCACCGGCUAACUACGUGCCAGCAGCCGCGGUAAUACGUAGGGUGCAAGCGUUGUCCGGAAUUAUUGGGCGUAAAGAGCUCGUAGGCGGUUUGUCGCGUCUGCUGUGAAAUCCCGAGGCUCAACCUCGGGCUUGCAGUGGGUACGGGCAGACUAGAGUGCGGUAGGGGAGAUUGGAAUUCCUGGUGUAGCGGUGGAAUGCGCAGAUAUCAGGAGGAACACCGAUGGCGAAGGCAGAUCUCUGGGCCGUAACUGACGCUGAGGAGCGAAAGCGUGGGGAGCGAACAGGAUUAGAUACCCUGGUAGUCCACGCCGUAAACGUUGGGCGCUAGAUGUAGGGACCUUUCCACGGUUUCUGUGUCGUAGCUAACGCAUUAAGCGCCCCGCCUGGGGAGUACGGCCGCAAGGCUAAAACUCAAAGGAAUUGACGGGGGCCCGCACAAGCGGCGGAGCAUGCGGAUUAAUUCGAUGCAACGCGAAGAACCUUACCAAGGCUUGACAUACACCGGAAACGGCCAGAGAUGGUUGCCCCCUUGUGGUCGGUGUACAGGUGGUGCAUGGUUGUCGUCAGCUCGUGUCGUGAGAUGUUGGGUUAAGUCCCGCAACGAGCGCAACCCUCGUUCUAUGUUGCCAGCGCGUUAUGGCGGGGACUCAUAGGAGACUGCCGGGGUCAACUCGGAGGAAGGUGGGGAUGACGUCAAAUCAUCAUGCCCCUUAUGUCUUGGGCUUCACGCAUGCUACAAUGGCCGGUACAAAGGGCUGCGAUACCGUAAGGUGGAGCGAAUCCCAAAAAGCCGGUCUCAGUUCGGAUUGAGGUCUGCAACUCGACCUCAUGAAGUCGGAGUCGCUAGUAAUCGCAGAUCA